CUCUCCUCUGCCUGAUUGUCUCCAGGUAGCUCGUUUUCCUAUCUGCGGGCACCCCAGCGAUAAACCGGCUAAUGAAGCGGGUGGCCAGGUCUCCAAAGCUGCCAAUACUCCCGGCCUCAAGGUUAUUGAACCACGCCCUUGCCGGCUCUGAGAGCGUCGUUGGGAAUACCUUGCACAUCAAGGCAUCUGACAGAGUCUGCAGCUCCAUGAAAG
rnacentral:lncRNA from 1 species